GAAUUAUGUGCAUUCUCAUGUGUUUGAUUAUUUUAAAAUUUUUUCAAAAUCAAAUUAAGGAUUUUUAUUUUUGUUAAUCAGUUAGAUGAACCAAAAUUCGAUUAUUUGUUAAGCUUCAUCUUCUUCUUCUUUGCCAUUUCUUUCCUUUCUUCCCUUAUUUAAAAGGGCAUUUUGGUAAUUCUUCUAAGAUUUCUUUAAUUUGUAUAUUUUGGGUCGAGUGAGGGCUGUCAGCAGUGUUUUUAGGUCCAAAACUCAAGGUUGAUGUGCUUUUAAGCCUCUUGGCAAGAUGUGUUCACCUUGGUGCAUGAAAGAUGUGCAAAGUGUCUCCUCCAAAAAAAAAAAAAAGA
rnacentral:misc_RNA from 1 species